UACGGAGGGGGCUAGCGUUGUCCGGAAUUACUGGGCGUAAAGCGCACGUAGGCGGCUUUGUAAGUUAGAGGUGAAAGCCCGGGGCUCAACUCCGGAAUUGCCUUUAAGACUGCAUCGCUUGAACGUCGGAGAGGUGAGUGGAAUUCCGAGUGUAGAGGUGAAAUUCGUAGAUAUUCGGAAGAACACCAGUGGCGAAGGCGGCUCACUGGACGACUGUUGACGCUGAGGUGCGAAAGCGUGGGGAGCAAACAGG
rnacentral:rRNA from 1 species